UACGUAGGGUGCAAGCGUUAAUCGGAAUUACUGGGCGUAAAGCGUGCGCAGGCGGUUUUGUAAGUCAGAUGUGAAAUCCCCCGGGCUUAACCUGGGGAACUGCGUUUGAAACUACAAGGCUAGAGUGUGGCAGAGGGGGGUGGAAUUCCACGUGUAGCAGUGAAAUGCGUAGAGAUGUGGAGGAACACCGAUGGCGAAGGCAGCCCCCUGGGUUAACACUGACGCUCAGGCACGAAAGCGUGGGGAGCAAACAGG
rnacentral:rRNA from 1 species